rnacentral:lncRNA from 1 species
GCACAGUAUCCCAGCAACCUAACAAGAUUCUUGUGCCGGACCCGGCCUAUGGCUUCAACCUCCACUUUGAAUUCCUUCUCAGCUUGGCCUCUGGUAAUUCAUUAAUCUCAUAAGGUAAUGCACAAAAGAUCUAAAUAUAAGAAAAAUGGAAAUAAUAUGCAAAUUAUUGUUGAGCAGCUAUUGAGAAAGAGGAAUAUUACUCAGAGGCAAUCUAACAAUUAUCAUGCUGAAAUUGCUAAUUAAGAUAAGAUGAUUACAAGCACAAUGGAUUUGGAAAGGAUGAGAACACUUUUCUCUGAAAGUAUGUAGCUUUACAGCACAAAUUCCAGCAGAAACAAGAUAAGAAUAUGGAGCAUGAUAAAAAGAGGAAUCAAAGCUAAGAGAGAAGAAAGAAAACAGAGGAUAACACUUAAACCCAGCAAAAAAACCUUAUUGGAUUGUGAGAAAGUGAAGGAGAAUAAAAGAACAGAGAAUCUCAGAAGUUCCUACAGAUGAAUACAGGAGCAAAACAAAAAGGUUCUCUCCUGAUUGGAUCGCCUUUUUUUUUUUUUUUUUUCAUUUUUUGAAAACCAAAACAACACCAAAAAUACCAGACCCAGUAUUUCAUUUUUCCUUCCUUUUCCUACAUUUUCUCGGCAACCAAACAGGAUCGUUAAUUAAAUUUUCUUAUAUGACAGCAAAUGAUGUCCCUGUCAUCAAUCAAAAACCUCUAUUCUACUGUGCCUAAUACAACCUGUUGAAUUAAGUUGGCAGAAGAAUCCAAAACAAUAUAAAACUUGACACUCAGAACUUUAUUUUCUUUCCCUUUCCCAUAUUUUCUCAGCACCCAAACGCAGUUUUACCCAGAUUAAAAUUUUC